AUGUCUGAGUUUGCAUGUCCUCUGUGUUAAGGAAUACAAGUUAAUACUAGUCAUCCAGGUAUUCAGAUACUAGUUUAAAGCAAAAACUGUUAACUCUUAUUUAAUUACAAGCUAUUUAAAUAAGAAAAAAAACAGAACCUGAGAGGUGCAUUUGACUAAUAUCUACAGGAUAACAAAUUAGCAUGGUUAUUGUUACCAAACUUAGAGAUGUUUUCAAGAUUAGGUCUAGAUUUGUUUGGCUCAGAUAUAUUUAAUAGAUAAUGAUCCUCAAACCCAUCAAAGAUCUGGUGAAUAUGGUAUUUAAAUUAUUUGAUAAAAAGCUUACUAUAACAAAUAGAGACUCCCAGCUCCCCAGCUCCUAACAAUGACUUGCAAUGACUCCAAAGAAGAUAUGGAACAAUGACAGGAAGGUGUCACCUGAAUUGGUGAUAACACCAACCACUGAGCAAGAUGCCCCAGCUCAACACCUGCUGCCAGGGAUCCGGCCCAGAAUGGACAAAUGAGACACUGACAAGAUAAGGUUUCCACUUGGCUGACAGACACAUCCAAGCAUUGUUUCCUGGUGACAACCUACUCCAAAUGACUGCAAGCCCUGAACUUGCUGAAAGCUGAUAUGGACCAAUCCAGCCAAUAUAAAUGCCAUCUCUUCAGCUGAUCAAUAAGACAUUCCCUCCUUG